UACGAAGGGGGCUAGCGUUGCUCGGAAUCACUGGGCGUAAAGGGCGCGUAGGCGGACUCUUAAGUCGGAGGUGAAAGCCCAGGGCUCAACCCUGGAAUUGCCUUCGAUACUGGGAGUCUUGAGUUCGGAAGAGGUUGGUGGGACUGCGAGUGUAGAGGUGAAAUUCGUAGAUAUUCGCAAGAACACCAGUGGCGAAGGCGGCCAACUGGUCCGAUACUGACGCUGAGGCGCGAAAGCGUGGGGAGCAAACAGG
rnacentral:rRNA from 1 species